AUUGAACGCUGGCGGCAUGCCUUACACAUGCAAGUCGAACGGCAGCACGGGUGCUUGCACCUGGUGGCGAGUGGCGAACGGGUGAGUAAUACAUCGGAACAUGUCCUGUAGUGGGGGAUAGCCCGGCGAAAGCCGGAUUAAUACCGCAUACGAUCUACGGAUGAAAGCGGGGGCCCUUCGGGCCUCGCGCUAUAGGGUUGGCCGAUGGCUGAUUAGCUAGUUGGUGGGGUAAAGGCCUAACAAGGCGACGAUCCGUAGCUGGUCUGAGAGGACGACCAGCCACACUGGGACUGAGACACGGCCCAGACUCCUACGGGAGGCAGCAGUGGGGAAUUUUGGACAAAGGGCGAAAGCCUGAUCCAGCAAUGCCGCGUGUGUGAAGAAGGCCUUCGGGUUGUAAAGCACUUUUGUCCGGAAAGAAAUCCUUGGCCCUAAUACGGUCGGGGGAUGACGGUACCGGAAGAAUAAGCACCGGCUAACUACGUG
rnacentral:rRNA from 1 species